CUAAGAUAAUAAGUGAAGUAAACGUAUAUAUACUGGGUGAACACAUUUUACAAAAACAUAUUUCACCAUUGAACUAGAAAAGUAAGUCCUUCCUGAGCUUCCAAUUGCAAACUAGUAGUUCAUGAACGUAUAAGCUUUGCAGCACUAACAAUAUAUUUUCAAUGAGCUAGUAACCUUAAUUUACUAACAAUUUUCUGUAUAUUCUAUAUGUUCAUAUUUGAACCUAAAUUCUUCUUGGUCCUUGGACACUUCCACAGUUUAUACUAGCCGUCUUCAUAACUUGCUUGUUUACCAUCUGAAAUAAAAACUUUUGAAAAAGUUAGGCAUUUUCAUGUGUAGACGCACUACAUUAAUUAAGAGGGUAUUCUUAUAGUAAAGAAAUAAAACAUCAGACUUUUGUUUCCCCUACUUUUAUUCAUCUAAAUAUUAUUUUACUACUAUUUUACAAGUGAAAUUGAUACAAUGCAUAUAAAACUAUAAUAUAUAUCCAAUUUAACUUCCCGACAUUAUAUCCACCUUUUUGUUAGAAACAGAAGAACCAUCGGUUCUUCGUUUGAACUUUCAUGGAUUUCUUGUAGUAUAUUCAUGCUGGUUUCGCCAACUAUAUAAUACAUACAUAGCCUAGUUAUACAUACUUAUGUUAUUACUCUUAUUACAUGUUUAAUUAAGAAUUCAUGUCCUCUGAAAGUAGAGCUUCUUUUUUGCACUUCAUAUACUCCUUCAAUUUCUUAGUACCUGAAAGAGAACUUGAGAAAAAGUCGGUUUAAAAAUCAAAAAUAUUAUGUGGCAAAAUUUCCAAAUUUAUAUCGCUUCGUUGGAAAUCUGCUACAUUCUACGGUAUACUACUUCGUAUAAAAUAAAGAAAGCACCAAGGCCAAAAAAUUAGUCUUUAUUCAAUAUUUUAUUUUUCUAUAUUACAAGCGUACUCAAUAGAAGAGAAUUAUUUAUUAAAUAUCUAUUUAUCACCAAAUAAUUAGGGUUUUAUACCUUUAUUUAUUU